CCUGCCCCAACUCUGCUCCUCGCUAGGGGCCCACUUGAGCGACUCUGCUGUGUCCUCGCUACGGGAUCCUCCCUGGGUCCCCCUUGAAACCCAAGGCUUCUGCUGCUCCUGGAUCUCUGUCCCCAUCCGCAGACUUUGCCCCGGCGUCCACUGUGGGAUCAUCAAAGGACGGGAAGAAACUGAGGUUCAGGAAGCUUCAAUCUCAUGCUGUGGGGUCACACAGCUUUUACAUGGCAAAGGCACACCUUGAACCUGGGUCUACCACACUGACCCUCCUACAUCCUGCUCCCAGCUGGCUGUAUGGCCUCGGACAUGUCCUUCAGCAUGCCUGGACCUCUGAUGCUUCGAUUUUCAAAAAAGAGAGACAGGAAGAAUCUUGGGACAGACACCCUCAAGAGUUGGGAGUAACAAAGAAGGAGAAAACAACAACAAAUUUUUGAAGAGCGGAAGCCAGAUAGUUGAGUGGUAACUGACCUAACAGAUUCAAGAACACUGACUCCUAAGCAGGUAAUGGAAAAAGCCAAGAACGGCCUGUGUCAAAUUGCGGACUUCUCACAGGGUUCAAGAAUUUGUAGUUUCAGGCAUCUCUGGCAGUUUAGGUUAAGGGAAAGCUUAAAAAAAAAAAAAAAAAAAAAAAAAAAAAAAGAGUGUUUAAAGCCAUUCAAGUAAUAGCUCCCUAAACUCUCUCCCCAGUUCCAUCCAUGUCACUGAGCUAUUUAUUACCCAUCCUAGCCUCAGCAGAAGACUGAAGUUUAUUCUCUAGACAGAAUAACACUGAGGGGCUCUGGACAGGUGGGACACUUGACGCAGUUGGGAGUGGAAACACUAAAAACAGGAGAAUUAAGUGAUUCCAUGCAUAUUAAAUGCUGAGAACCUCAGCCCUAUUCCCUCACUCCCAGAAAGGGGGUGACCAGGCCUGUCUGUAGGGUACAAGCUUUCUCCAUGGGUUACAUCAGAAAUCUAUAGAUGCCAAUUAUCAGAGGCUGCCUAACAAACACCCCAGGCAAAUCAUCCUAUAGCAACAUCCUCUAUCACCACAGCCAGUGAGUCCCCCCACUUCACAUGGCUUCCAAUCAGUGUUUUAGUCCACCACUUGUAAACAUAAGCAGACAACCAAGGAUUAGCAGAAAUCUGAUAAAAGCCUCUAAAAUGAGACAGAGACCCCCAGAAAGGGUAGAGAGGGAGUGGCUGGGUGGCUCAGUCAGCUGAGUGUUUGACUCUUGGUUUCGGCUUAGGUCAUGAUCUCACGGUUUGUGGGUUGAAGCCCCUCAUUGGGUUCUGUGC